GGCUAGUCCGAAGAUAGAGAGUUAGCUCGAUUGUUCACAGAUUGAACUCUUUGUUCUAUUCGUUCCCCCCUCACUACUGCCCUUGACUAAUCAUAG
ensembl:Y_RNA Y_RNA Y RNA